AUACGGAGGGGGUUAGCGUUGUUCGGAAUUACUGGGCGUAAAGCGUACGUAGGCGGACUGGAAAGUUGGGGGUGAAAUCCCGGGGCUCAACCCCGGAACUGCCUCCAAGACUUCCAAUCUAGAGAUCGAGAGAGGUGAGUGGAAUUCCAAGUGUAGAGGUGAAAUUCGUAGAUAUUUGGAGGAACACCAGUGGCGAAGGCGGCUCACUGGCUCGAUACUGACGCUGAGGUACGAAAGCGUGGGGAGCAAACAGGAUUAGAAACCCCAGUAGUCC
rnacentral:rRNA from 1 species